CCCCGCCCUAGGGUAGCUCCCAAAAAGCCGGAACCCUACCGGCCUGGGCGGGGAUUUCACUAUAGGG
rnacentral:sRNA from 1 species